UACGUAGGUCGCAAGCGUUGUCCGGAAUCAUUGGGCGUAAAGAGCUCGUAGGCGGCCUGUUGCGUCCGCUGUGAAAUCCCGGGGCUCAACCCCGGGCCUGCAGUGGAUACGGGCUGGCUAGAGGCAGGCAGGGGAGAACGGAAUUCCUGGUGUAGCGGUGAAAUGCGCAGAUAUCAGGAGGAACACCGGUGGCGAAGGCGGUUCUCUGGGCCUGUACUGACGCUGAGGAGCGAAAGCGUGGGGAGCAAACAGG
rnacentral:rRNA from 1 species